GUGGUAGCUCUCCAAGCCCUGUCCAAAUAUGGAGCAACAACUUUCACAAAAAAGUAAGAUGGCAGUUUCAGUCACUGUCAAAUCUUCUAACACAUUCUCUGAAGAAUUCCACAUAGAUGAUGACAAUCGCCUGCUGCUGCAGGAGGUCAUGCUGUCUGAGAUUCCAGGGGAUUAUGACACCACAGUGUUGGGGUCAGGAUGUGUGUACCUCCAGACUUCACUAAGAUAUAACAUCCUUCCCAAGAAAGAAGGGAAAGUUCCCUUCACUCUGCAUGUUGAUUCUCAUCCCAAAAUUGUGAUGGAGUAGAUGCUCACAGGAAAUUCCAGAUUCAUAUCAACAUUAGUUAUACUGGCGAAAGACCCAGCUCCAACAUGGUUAUUGUGGAUUUGAAGAUGAUAUCAGGCUUCAGUGAAAAAGCUUCAAGAACAGCCUGAGAUUCAAAGGACUGAAGUGAGGACCAAUCCUGUCGUAAUCUACCUUAGGAAGCUAACCAAUCAAGCCCUGAGUUUCUCCUUCUUGGUGGAACAAGACAUGCAAGUAAAGAAUUUAAAACCAGCUAUAGUAAAAGCCUAUAAUUAUUAUG